rnacentral:rRNA from 1 species
GAUUAACGUUGGCAGUGCGCCUAACACAUGCAAGUCGAGCGAUAUAGCGGCAGACGAGAGAGUAAUAGUAAGGAACUUACCCCCGAGUGAAGGAUAGCCAGCCGAAAGGUUGGGUAAUCCUGCAUAAUAUCGAAAGAUCAAAGCCUUCGGGCGCUUGGGGAGAGGCCUUACUCCUAUCAGCUAGUUGGUGAGGUAAAGGCUCACCAAGGCGAUGACGGGUAGCUGGUCUGAGAGGAUGAUCAGCCUCGAUGGGACUGAGACACGGCCCAUACUCCUACGGGAGGCAGCAGUUGGGGAUUUUGCACAAUGGAGGAAACUCUGAUGCAGCGACACUGCGUGAAGGAUGAAGGUUUUCGGAUCGUAAACUUCUUUUAGUGGGGAAUAAUCUUGAAGUACCCACUGAAUAAGGACCGGCUAACUACGUGCCAGCAGCCGCGGUAAU